UGUCAGAGUAGAAGCGUUCAGCAUAGUCAGUUACAUCGGCUGCUAUGUGGGUCAUUGCUCAGAAA
rfam:Acinetobacter sp. 39-4 SCNpilot_BF_INOC_scaffold_18585, whole genome shotgun sequence.